rnacentral:ncRNA from 1 species
GGUAGUAGCAAAUAUUCAAAUGAGAACUUUGAAGGCUGAAGUGGAGAAGGGCUCCAUGUGAACAGCAAUUGGACAUGGGUUAGUCGAUCCUAAGAGAGAGGGAUGUUCCGCAUAUGUAAGCAUUGCUUCGCUCCUCGAAAGGGAAUGGGGUUAACCUCCCCCAACCAGGACGUGGAUACUGUACGGCAACGUGAAAGAAUUCGGCCACGCAGGAGAGAGCCCUGGGAAGCGUUGUCUUUUCUUUUUAACCGCCUUUUACCCUGGAAUCAGAUUAUCUGGAGAUAGGGUUAAAUAGCGGGUAAAGCACCUUGUCUUCCGAGGUGUCCGGUGCGUUCUCGACUGCCCUUGAAANACACACACACACACAUAUAUAUACAUAUAUAUAUAUAUAUAUAGAUAUAGAGAGAGAUACUUGCGACCGAACCACGAGGGAGGUCCCAGUCAAUGGCGAUCUUCAUGGGAGCCCUGCCGCAGGGC